CCCCCCCGACUCUGAUGUAGCCAUAUCGGUAAACCUCGUUAAUAAAUCUCGGUGUCGUGCUCGUAUGAUUGCUUGAUCCUCGGAUGAUUGAUGGUGUGCCUCGGAUUUAUUCUAACACCUGUUGCGGUCUUGAGAACUGUCCUUAAUUACAAUACAUAACAAUGUAAAAAAAUUACAAUACAUAAACCACGACAAGAUGCGCUGUUAGGCAGUACUACUACGUACUAGUAUAAUACAUCAGGAGGUUAAUGAUUGCAAAGCCUAUUACGCAGCCUUUAUCUCCCCUUCUAUAUCAGGACCUGUGUGCUCCCACAGCCAUAAUCAAGCCGCUCGAUGAGCUGUUCCGAACCAAACGACUUCCCGGCGUACUAUUUGCCCAACACUGAUGCGAAGAAAAUCACAGAAACCUCGCGAAAAAACAGCGUCCAGCCUCGCAUGGGCAGUUGGGCACACCGGAAACUGAAGCAUUCAUCGCGAUGCAUGCACGCACGCCCACCUUUGAAUUUGGCUUCAUCACACCGCGUAUUAUCACAUCACAUGAAAUCCCCCAUUAAACUCGGAAAAGGGCGAAAAGGUCGCCCCCAGCACGGCUUCUCUCGACCUUUUUACGCCGGAAACCGACGCCGGGAAGGAUAGAAAGGAGCCGGGCGUGCGUACAGCUCCGUAACAGAGCUCCCGUUUUUGUUGCGACGCGACGGCAGCAGGCCGCCCCCCAUGCCCGACCGGGCGGCGACGACGACAGCGAUCAGUUGGUUGUAGGAGGAGGAGUGGGGGGAUUGGCUUCGCUAGCGUACACAUAAGCCUCCUCCCACGUAAUCUCGCCUGUCACCCAGUGCAGAUUUUUAGUUUUCCUUGGCGACUUUCAGCAUGCUCGACGCCCGUCCCUCGCGGUCUGUCUGUUGGGCUAUUAGAGAUUGGCCCGGGUUAAUUAUCGAGGGUUC
rnacentral:lncRNA from 1 species